rnacentral:rRNA from 1 species
ACUCUGGCCAAGGAACUCGGCAAAAUAACCCCGUAACUUCGGAAGAAGGGGUGCUCUCUAGGGUGACAUGUUUAACAUAUGAAGCCCCGGGGAGCCGCAGUGAAUUGGUGGUGGCGACUGUUUACUAAAAACAUAGGUCUGUGCGAAGUCCUAAAGACGACGUAUACGGACUGACGCCUGCCCGGUGCUGGAAGGUUAAAAGGAGGGGUCAGCGCAAGCAAAGCUCCGAAUUGAAGCCCCAGUAAACGGCGGCCGUAACUAUAACGGUCCUAAGGUAGCGAAAUUCCUUGUCGGGUAAGUUCCGACCUGCACGAAUGGCGUAACGAUCUCCACACUGUCUCGGCCAGAGACUCGGUGAAAUUGCAGUCGCGGUGAAAAUUCCGUGUACCCGCAGAAAGACGGAAAGACCCUGUGCACCUUUACUAUAGCUUGACAUUGGAUUUUGGGCCUGCAUGUGUAGGAUAGGUGGGAGGCUGUGAACCCUGUACGCCAGUAUGGGGGGAGCCAUCCUUGAAAUACCACCCUUGCAUGUUUAAGAUCCUAACUUCUUCCGGUUAUCCCGGAGAAAGACAGUGUCUGGCGGGUAGUUUGACUGGGGCGGUCGCCUCCUAAAGUGUAACGGAGGCAUGCAAAGGUUCCCUCAGCCUGAUCGGAAACCAGGCGCUGAGUGCAAACGCAUAAGGGAGCUUGACUGUAAGAGAGACAUCUCGAACAGGAACGAAAGUUGGCGUUAGUGAUCCGGUGGUCCCGAAUGGAAGGGCCAUCGCUCAUUGGAUAAAAGGUACGCCGGGGAUAACAGGCUGAUCGCAUCCAAGAGUUCACAUCGACGAUGCGGUUUGGCACCUCGAUGUCGGCUCAUCACAUCCUGGGGCUGAAGCAGGUCCCAAGGGUACGGCUGUUCGCCGUUUAAAGUGGUACGCGAGCUGGGUUUAAAACGUCGUGAGACAGUUUGGUCCCUAUCUUCUGUGGGCGAAGGAGAAUUGAGAGGGCCUGUCCCUAGUACGAGAGGACCGGGAUGGACGCACCCCUGGUGAUCCUGUUGUCGCGCCAGCGGCAUAGCAGGGUAGCUAUGUGCGGAAGGGAUAACCGCUGAAAGCAUCUAAGCGGGAAGCCUGCCUCAAGAUAAGUUCUCCCCUCGAAAGAGCUGAAGGGCCCGGGUAGACUACCCGGUCGAUAGGCUGGAGGUGUAAGCGCGGCGACGUGCUCAGCUGACCAGUACUAAUAGCCCGAGCGGCUUAUUUUU